UACGGAAGAGGCAAGCGUUGUUCGGAAUCAUUGGGCUUAAAGGGUGUGUAGGCGGAAUUGAAGGUACUUUGUGAAAGCCCCCGGCUCAACCGGGGAAUCGCUUGGUAAACCACAAUUCUUGAGGUCAGCAGGGGCAUCUGGAACUAUGGGUGGAGCGGUGAAAUGCGUAGAUAUCCAUGGGAACGCCGAUGGCGAAAGCAGGGUGCUGGGCUGAUUCUGACGCUGAGACACGAAAGCGUGGGGAGCAAACACG
rnacentral:rRNA from 1 species